AGGAACGCGAAGAACCUUACCAGGUCUUGACAUCUUUUGAUCACCUGAGAGAUCAGGUUUCCCUUCGGGGGCAAAAUGACAGGUGGUGCAUGGUUGUCGUCAGCUCGUGUCGUGAGAUGUUGGGUUAAGUCCCGCAACGAGCGCAACCCUUAUGACUAGUUGCCAGCAUUUAGUUGGGCACUCUAGUAAGACUGCCGGUGACAAACCGGAGGAAGGUGGGGAUGACGUCAAAUCAUCAUGCCCCUUAUGACCUGGGCUACACACGUGUUACAAUGGAUGGUACAACGAGUUGCGAGACCGCGAGGUCAAGCUAAUCUCUUAAAGCCAUUCUCAGUUCGGACUGUAGGCUGCAACUCGCCUACACGAAAUCGGAAUCGCUAGUAAUCGCGAAUCAACACGCCGCGGUUAAAUACUUUCCGGGUCUUGUAA
rnacentral:rRNA from 1 species